UACGUAGGGUGCAAGCGUUGUCCGGAAUUAUUGGGCGUAAAGAGCUCGUAGGCGGUUUGUCGCGUCGAAUGUGAAAACCCGGGGCUCAACCCCGGGCCUGCAUUCGAUACGGGCAGACUAGAGUUCGGUAGGGGAGUCUGGAAUUCCUGGUGUAGCGGUGAAAUGCGCAGAUAUCAGGAGGAACACCGGUGGCGAAGGCGGGACUCUGGGCCAUUACUGACGCUGAGGAGCGAAAGCGUGGGGAGCGAACAGG
rnacentral:rRNA from 1 species